GUACUCCCUCCGUUUUAAAAUGUUUGAUACCGUUGACUUUUUAGUAUGUAUUUGAUCAUUCGUCUUAUUCAAAAAAUUUAAGUAAUUAUUUAUUUUUUUCAUAUCGUUUGAUUUAUUGAUAAAUAUGCUUUCAUGUACACAUAUAAUUUUAUAUAUUUCAUAAAAUUUUUUGAAUAAGACGAAUGGUCAAACAUGUGCUAAAAAGUUAACGGUGUCAAACAUUUCGAAACGGAGGGAGUAUUUAUUGUAACUUU
rnacentral:miRNA from 1 species